rnacentral:rRNA from 1 species
GUGGGUUCAAGCUAGGCCAUGCACGUCUAAGUACAAACUAAAUGAUGGUGAAACUGCAAAUGGCUCAUUACAACGGUUAUGAUGUACCCGGGAGUUCCGAUGGAUAUUUCCAGUAACACUAGAACUAAUACAUGUCCCUGCGUUUAUUAGUUUCGCACAGUCCGUCGCUGAGUCAUGGUAAACAGUUGAUCGACUCGACGUCCCGGAACAGUUUCCGCCCCAUCAGCUUCGAUGGUUGGGUAUUGGCCUACCAUUGCAACAACGGGUAACGAGGAAUUAGGGUUUGAUUUCGGAGAGGGAGCCUGAGAAACGGCUACCACAUCUACGGAUGGCAGCAGGCGCGCAAAUUACCCAAUGCAGACACUGUGAGGUAGUGACGAGAAAUAAUAAAGCGGGACUUCUGUUUCGCUAUUAUAAUGAGGAAUAACCAAAGGUCAUUCCGAUUAGCAACUGAUGGGAAAGUCUGGUGCCAGCAGCCGCGGUAAUACCAGCGUCAGUAG